GCCUUGAUGCUGUUGAUCUGCACCUGGAACUCCAUCACUGCAAGGGACAGCGCAGAACAGAGUGCUGCUUUGUAAAAGCGCACCUGCCCACCUUGGGGAGGAGCUCAGACACACCUGUUUUCAAUCUUCGUUGGACUACUUUAGCUCUGCUUCCAUGUUCAGUCAUUGCCGGAUUGUUUCCCCAUGUUCACCUGUUCCAUGCUCAUGUCCUGUCCUGUAUGCCUUCCCAUGUUUCUGGCCUCGGCUAGUUCCUGUAAGUACUACUCGUGCAAGUUCCUGUCAGCCUUUUUGCUACAGUCUGUUGCUAUUUUCAAGUUCUCGCUCCUGCGCAGUUUUUCUAUUGCAGUGAAGUUUUUGUUACCUUUCUCUGCUAGUUUUUCAGCAGCUACCUUAGUUAGCAUUUUUUUUUAAUCUUUCUGUUUCCCCUGCCGGUUAGUUGUGCAGCGCCUUUAGUUACUAUAGUGUCAUAUUUUUGUAUUGGAAUAAACCUUCGUAAACCUA